rnacentral:lncRNA from 10 species
GCUUUGUGGGCUGUGUUGGAGUUUAGACCUUAUGCUAAAGGAGAUAGGAUGUUGCUGAAAGGUUUGAACUAGGGAAAUAACAAUCAGAUUUAUGGUUUAGAAAGGUCGUUCCAGACUGGUGGUUGGGAGAGCAGUCUGCUGAACACUGACACAGUACCUGGAGAUACACAGAUGGAUAUGGUGGUACCCAAGAGUGCCCACACUCUAGUGUGGGAAAAACUACAUUAAAAAUUGUCCCAUGAUGUCAUGUGAAGGAGAUCUUAAGGAUUGAAGAUAAUGCAUUAAAGUGCCUGAGGCUUGUGCCUAUGAAUAAAGUGCCUACUACUGGUUACUGUUGGAGCAGCCAUGUCUACAUGUUCAAGCUGUGCACUGAACAAGACAUCACAUGUAUGGAGGUGCCAUUCACACUUUAGACAUAUGAUGUAUAUCAAUGCAGACCCAAAUAGAAAUCUGAUACAGUCACCCCUCCCACUUUGGCAGGGAAGGUUCAGUAAAUAGGCUGUUAUUACCAGGAGCCUGCAUGACUCAAGCAAGCAGCUGGGGCCUGAGCAGUGAGCAGAAUGGAAUGUCUAUCAGGACAGCCGUAGAUUUCCACAGCUUCCUGCUUUCGUCAGCUUCAGCUUAACAUCUAUUAUUGUGAAGAGUAGGGUCUUCCAAGUUUAUAAGAAGAAUCAGAUUUCCAAGAGCAAUUUACCCCUUUCUUCAUUCUGUUAGGCAUUAUUUGGAAUGGCUUUUC